UUGAACCUUCGCGAGUUGAACAAGCUGUUAUCCGCUAUAACACCUAAAUCAACCGAUUAAAAAUGAGAUUUUUGUUUUUGAAAAAAGUUUUGCUGAUGAGAUAAAUUAGGCUGCUGGAACACCUGAGUUUUUAGAAAUUCAAAAAAAAAGUCAUAAAACUAUAGCGUAAACCAAGAGCUACAAGUUGAAGAAUAAAAUUAUAGAUGGAAAAAAAUAUUUAACUUGAUAAGACCACCGAACCUACAGCACAUGCGUGCGUCGGAAGUAUUUAAUUUACGGUUCGGUUACAUACAUCCAAUUCGAACCAAACGUAAGUAAGUGACGAGCUAAUGACAGCAUCUAAUGACUGUUAGUUGCCAUUUUCCGAUCAAGCGAAAGAUACGAACUGGUUCGGACUUAUUGUUAGAUAAAAACAUGCAAACAUAGAAGAAUCAAUAAGUUCAAUAAGUUUAUCAGCAUCGUCUGAAAACUGAGGAAGCUUAUGCAGACGAACGGCCCCACAGUGCGGUAGAUAACCAGGCUACUUUUUAGUGAAGUCUAUCUUUAAAUUAGUCAACCCAGUUCGCCACACCAUCAGUCGCAAGGAACACUAUUUGGGUAAACACGAAUUUUUUUUCUUUUUUUAAUAAAAAAAGUGAACUUUC